UUAAGACGAAUCAUGGAACAAAAGGAACAUUACAUUUAAUUAUUUACGAUAACGAUAACAUUAUCACAUCUUAAGAACACACAGCCGAGUCCUUGAUCCCGGAAUCGAGCCAUAAUGAAGUUGAAACUGCCAUUGGGAAAUUACAAAUCUCCAGGUAUCGACUCAUUUCCAAUGGAACUAAUCCAUACAGGUGGUAGGACACUGCACUCAGAGACACAUCAGCUUAUAGUCUCGAUUUGGAACCAGAAAAUAAUACCACAACAUCGGAAGUAAUCAGCUGUUGUCCCUAUGUACAAAAUCGGUGACAACAUUGAAUGCAGGAAAUUACGAGAACAUGUCAUCAGCAAGGGCUCGAAUCGAAUGGUGUGCACCAGGUACUUACUCUCCUCUGCUGCUGAUGUCAAUUUGCUGGUGCAUGGUGCGGGUACCAUAACCAAGAAUGCAGAUACUUUCCUACAGUGGAACGCAUUUUGAAUGGCUUUUGUCACCGACUGGUACCAACUCUACAAUCAUAAUUCAUGCCGUCGCCACCUUGACAGUUGGCGUUAUCGCACGUACUACAGAAAAUGGUGGAAUCUUUAUUAAUGUACUAUUUAUAUACAAAGGCCUUUGUGUGUGUGUGUGUUUGUUACGAAAGGGGCAGACGAAACUCAGACUAGCGAACAGUUCUCUAGUAACCUAACAGAGCAGAAUCUUUUGAGACCGAGCGUCGGCCUUAAAAGAUUAGCCAACCACAUACAAAACUGUAAUCAAAAUUAAUCUCUCGAGGUUAUCUCCACACGUAGGCUAAACUGAAUGGGAUCAUCAGUGUGAAUUUUGUCACAGUCAAUCAACUAGUAACCAUGUAUGGAGCAUUCGUCAGAUGUGGGAGAUGAAAAAUUGGAGUACAGUGGAAGAAUUCACCAGCUAUUUAGAGACAUCAAGAAACCUUAUGAUUCAGUUAGCAGGGCAGUAAGAUAGUGUAAAGAACUGUCACUUAAGUCGGUGUUUGUAUCAAUGAAUCUAAUUUUAAAAUGUUAGAGAAAAAUUACACAAAGAGUCCAUAAUAAAAUCCCGUAUCUUUCUUAUACGGACGUCAGAUUCAUGUGAAACCAAGGUCUGACAUCUUCUGUUCCGGGCCUCUGUUUAUAAAAAGAAUACGGCGCUGAUGCUGGUGUGACGUCAGACUGGUUGUGUUGCUGCAGUACGAUUCAACGACUCUAUUACUUGUCUUAGUACAAACGAGCUUCCGGCAGGAGCUGCUGGCAGUCGGCCAACAUCGGUUAUAGUCUUCAUUAUGUUGGCAUGGAGAGUGAACUGAAGCGACAGUUCCUUCGAAAGCAAACACUGCCCUCAUGUGGGGAAAAAUAAAAGUUUUGCGAACACUGCUAGCGGGUUACCACAGCAAAAAUAGCUUUUACAAGUUCCUACCGGCUUUGCCGAAUUGUGUAAAUGUGUACGGAGGUCCAUGAUAAGCGACCAGCCCUUGCUUCAGAGUACAGAGAAUUGAUGAUGUUUAUAAUUUGAUACUACGUGAAGUGCAGUGAGGACUAUCAUGAAAUGUGAAUUGAGUCACAGAUAAUUUAAAAAAACCCUUCGAAACAGUCAUCACACAGCCUUCCCGAUUCGUACAUAAACCAGUUCAGUAUAACCCGUGUCUAAGAGCUCCCUUCUGAACCCUAAAGCUGACUCGCGUAUUUACGUAUUCUGUAAGCAUACACGAUACUUGAAUUCACGCCUGCAUGAAGUCAUAAGACAUAAAAUAUGUCCAUAAAUGAUCUUCUGGUGAUUUCAAACGCAACGAGGAACGAAACGAUCUAUUGUGUCUGCGCAUGUAUUAUCAUUAGUAACCUCGAAAACAACAGAAAAUAAAGAUAAACUUGUCACAGACGACUUCAAAGUCCAAGGAUAACAAAAAGUAUUCCUUUAUCCCAUGUAUUCCGCAGCGGUAUCCUACUUGUCGCUCUCAGCGGUCCAUAACAUCUCGUACACUAUAAAAAUGAACAAAUUCCGUCAUUUCUCCACGUUAUCACUCAUUUAUUGAACGUUCACAGAAAGAAAUUUUUGUAACAAAAAUUAUUACCUUAGAGUAACCGUCUCAAAAAAAAAUGAGGCAAGCAAGCUGCUUUAUACGUUGCAAUAAACUGAACAGUUAAAUAGAACUUCACACUUUUUAAGUCGUUAAUAAAGUCAGUUCAAGUCUAGUAAAAAAUUAAAAACUGCUUCUACUUUAAUUAAACUUCAAACAGAGCUUUCAGCGGACUUGAAACGUACUACACAUCAAUAGGUUAGGUUAAAGUCCAUUGAAGUAUUUGUGAAGUGACUUGCAUUCAAGCAAUUUCAUUAGCGUGAACAAGACUUAAAUGUCCAAUUUGAACACCAGGAAGACGAUGGGAUGAUGUAAAAGGGCGCGCUGUGAGUGGGUGAGUUACACGCAAUGGAUGGCGACCGUAUAAUGGAUGCUAAUCUGACUUCCCGGUACAACACAGGAGCAACAAUGGAGCACAGGCAGCGAACAAUAUGCAAAUUAAACGUGGACUUGCAACACUCUUGCAUUGAAUAUCCGUAUCAUUUACCUUGGUCACGAGAUAUAACCAUUAGAACAGUUGAUGAAUUGUAAUUUUAUAACGAGGUGGGAUUUCAAUUGCGAUUUAAUGAACUGGAUGCCGCUUACACGCUCAGAAAUACGAAAGAUGUUCCCGCCGCAUUAAACGGUAGAUUUUCGACGUGUACAACGGAGGUAUAGUCGGCGCAGUUGUUUUUGGCCGGUGGAGAAACUA